GCCAAACAGCUAGCUCAAUUACCCAAUAACUAAACAAUAUAAAUAAAACAAAAUAAGCCUAACACCAAAAAUUAAAUCAUUCUUUUACCUUAGUAUGGGCGACAGAAAAGGUUACACCUGGAGCAAUAGAAAAAGUACCGCAAGGGAAAGCUGAAAGAGAAAUGAAAUAACUUAUAUAAGCACCAAAAAGCAAAGAUUAAAUCUUGUACCUUUCGCAUCAUGAUUUAGCCAGUAUAUCCAAGCAAAGAGACCUUUAGUUUGAAACCCCGAAACCAAGUGAGCUACCCCGAGACAGCCUAUUAAGGGCCAACCCGUCUCUGUGGCAAAAGAGUGGGAAGAGCUCCGGGUAGAGGUGACAGACCUACCGAACUUGGUGAUAGCUGGUUGCCUAAGAAGUGAAUAGAAGUUCAGCCUCGUACUCCCUGAAUCAAAAGAUAUAAAAAGAUAUUAGAGGGAAAUAUAUGAGAGUUAGUUAAAGGGGGUACAGCCCCUUUAACAAAGGACACAACCUUUCCAGGAGGAUAAAGAUCAUAAUACAUAAGACAUCCUGUUCUAGUGGGCCUAAAGGCAGCCAUCUAAACAGAAAGCGUUAAAGCUCAGACAGAAAUAAGUUUAUUAUUCCGACAAGAAAUCUUACUCCCCUAAAUAUUAUUAGGCCAGCCCAUGCCCACAUGGGAGAGACUAUGCUAAAAUGAGUAACAAGAAGGCCAGCCCUUCUCCAAGCACAAGUGUAAGCCAAACCGGACCGACCAUUGGCAAUUAACGAACUCAACCCGAGAGAGUAAUGUGUAUUACAACGAAACCAGGAAGAACUCACAAUUAACCCAUCGUUACCCCCACACUGGCGUGCUAUUAAAGGAAAGACUAAAAGAAGGGAAAGGAACUCGGCAAACACAAGCCUCGCCUGUUUACCAAAAACAUCGCCUCCUGCAACACAACCAAGUAUAGGAGGUCCAGCCUGCCCAGUGACUACAAGUUCAACGGCCGCGGUAUUUUGACCGUGCAAAGGUAGCGCAAUCACUUGUCUCUUAAAUGGAGACCUGUAUGAAUGGCUAAACGAGGGCUUAACUGUCUCCCCCCUCCAGUCAGUGAAAUUGAUCUACCCGUGCAGAAGCGGG
rnacentral:rRNA from 1 species